GAUAAACGCUGGCGGCGCACAUAAGACAUGCAAGUCGAACGAACUUAACUCAUUCUUUACGAUUGAGAGCGGUUAGUGGCGGACUGGUGAGUAACACGUAAGCAACCUGCCUAUUAGAGGGGAAUAACAGUGAGAAAUCAUUGCUAAUACCGCAUAUGCUCACAGCAACACAUGUUGCAGUGAGGAAAGGAGUAAUCCGCUAAUAGAUGGACUUGCGUCUGAUUAGCUAGUUGGUGGGGUAACGGCCUACCAAGGCGACGAUCAGUAGCCGGACUGAGAGGUUGAACGGCCACAUUGGGACUGAGAUACGGCCCAGACUCCUACGGGAGGCAGCAGUCGGGAAUAUUGCGCAAUGGAGGAAACUCUGACGCAGUGACGCCGCGUAUAGGAAGAAGGUUUUCGGAUUGUAAACUAUUGUCAUUAGGGAAGAUAAAGACUGUACCUAAGGAGGAAGCCCCGGACUAACUAUGUG
rnacentral:rRNA from 1 species